GCAGGGGCUGGGGAAGGGGGCGCGUCAAAAGAUGGUGGUUGUGGGGGUGGGGGCGUGGAAGGAUGGUGGCCACGGGGUUGGGGACACAAAAGGAUGGUGGCCAUGGGUUGGGGACGUGGAAGAAUGGUGGCCGUGGGGUUGGAGAACACCAAAAGAUGGCGGCCAUGGGGCUUGUGCGUGGAGGGAUGGUGGCCACGGGGUCGGGGACGUGGAAGGAUGGUGGCCACGGGGUUGGGGAAUGGGGUUGGAGAAUAUCGAAAAUGGCGGCCGUGGGGUUGGAGAACACCAAAAGAUGGUGGCCACGGGGUUGGGGACGUGGAAGGAUGGUGGCCACGGGGUUGGGGAAUGGGGUUGGAGCAUAUCAAAAUGGUGGCCACAGGGUUGGGGACAUGGAAGGACGGUGGCCAUGGGGGUUGGAGAACACCGAAAGGUGCUGGCCACGUGGCUGGGGAACGUGGAAGAAUGGUGGCCGUGGGGUUGGGGAUACGGAAGGAUGGUGGCCACCGUCAAAAGAUGGUGGU
rnacentral:lncRNA from 1 species